UAUGUGAUCGUCUCUCGCAUAUCAAUAAGCGGAGGAAAAGAAACUAACAAGGAUUCCCCUAGUAACGGCGAGUGAAGCGGGAAGAGUUCAAAUUUGAAAUCUUAAAGGGUCUCCCUUUACGAAUUGUAGUUUAAAGAAGUGUUUUCUGUUGAGGUUUUGGUAAAAGUUCUUUGGAAUAGGACAUCAUAGAGGGUGAGAAUCCCGUAUUUGACCUUUACUUUCAACUUUGUGAUACACUUUCAAAGAGUCGGAUUGUUUGGGAAUGCAGUCCAAAAUGGGUGGUAAAUUUCAUCUAAAGCUAAAUAUUGGCGAGAGACCGAUAGCGAACAAGUACCGUGAGGGAAAGAUGAAAAGAACUUUGAAAAGAGAGUUAAACAGUACGUGAAAUUGUCAAAAGGGAAGCGUUUGACAUCCAGUGUUGUUUUUCUGAAAAUCAAUUAAGAGAUGUUUAUGUUCUGAGAGUGUAUGACUUCAUCAGCUUAACUGUCUCGUCUUCCGAAGCUUUUCUGUAAUGCACUUUUCAGUUAACAAGUCAACAUCAAUUUCUUUUGCUGUAAAAAAGCUUGAGGAAGGUGGCUUGAGAUUCGUCUUAAGUGUUUAUAGCCUCUUGCCUAUGCAGUCGGAGAGAUUGAGGUCUGCAGCGUAGAUCCUUCGGGGCUAAAUGCACUUUGUGCUAAGUUAUAGCAUUUUAUAGACAACUUGUUGACUAUGAUUUGUCUUGUAGCUUACUCGCUUAUGUUAUUUUACCUACGCUUAGGAUGUUGACUGAUAUGUAGUCGUA
rnacentral:rRNA from 1 species